CGUUCGCAGUUGGUAGUUCGCAGUUGAUAGUUGAUAGUUCGCGUUCGUAGUUGGUAGUUCAUACUUGAUAGUUCGCGUUCGCACUUGGCAGUUCGCACUUGGCAGUUCAGACUUGGUAGUAGCAUAGAUAGUGUAGAAAGAGGGAUUGGAAAAACGGAUCGCAAUCGUCGGGCAGUCCAGGCUGCGCAGGAAGUUAAUUCACUGCACCGGAAGCUAAUAAUAGUUCUUCACAUCACCUUGGGAUAUAUGGGAUGGCAGCACAGAUUACAGAGCAGACAGACAGCAUAUGAGACUUGAGAAGAGCUAGAGCUAAAGAGCAGUGAUGAGCAUUGAAGAAAAACACUCUACUGAGAUCGAGAGAAGCCACUAAGCCUCUGUUUGUGAAGACGAAGGAUUCAAGAUAUUUAGCAGUGCCAGCAUCAUGUAACUGCACUGACUUUAGCAACAAAGUUGUAGCUAUGAAUGGAUGAUUUACGAGGGAAAUACAAUUUAAUAGCUUGAUCACUUUAGCGUAUUGUGUAUUCACACUCUUAUACUCUUAGUAUUAUAGUUGAUUCGAUUCAUAA